AUGGCGUCCGCGCUCACCAACGUGAGCCUGUCUACCUUCGCGCCCACGGCCAGGGGCGACGUCCUCGCGAGGCCGCAGGUGGCCGCCGCCCGCGUCACCUUCCCGACGGCGCACCGCGGCAGCGGCGCCCUCUCCUGCAGGGCGGGCGGGCCGGCCACGCCGCCGGGCAUCUCCGACAAGAUGUCGGACAGCAUCAAGGAGGCCCAGGAGACGUGCUCGGAGGACGCCGCCAGCGGGGAGUGCGCGGCGGCGUGGGACGAGGUGGAGGAGCUCAGCGCCGCCGCCAGCCACGCCCGGGACAAGCUCAAGGACUCCGACCCGCUGGAGAACUACUGCAAGGAGAACCCCGAGACCGACGAGUGCCGCACCUACGACAGCUGA
rnacentral:rRNA from 1 species